AUGAACGCUGGCGGCGUGCCUCAUACAUGCCAGUCGCGCGAGCAGACGAGGAGCUUGCUCCUCUGACGUUAGCGGCGGACGGGUGAGUAACACGUGGAUAACCUACCUAUAAGACUGGGAUAACUUCGGGAAACCGGAGCUAAUACCGGAUAAUAUAUUGAACCGCAUGGUUCAAUAGUGAAAGACGGUUUUGCUGUCACUUAUAGAUGGAUCCGCGCCGCAUUAGCUAGUUGGUAAGGUAACGGCUUACCAAGGCAACGAUGCGUAGCCGACCUGAGAGGGUGAUCGGCCACACUGGAACUGAGACACGGUCCAGACUCCUACGGGAGGCAGCAGUAGGGAAUCUUCCGCAAUGGGCGAAAGCCUGACGGAGCAACGCCGCGUGAGUGAUGAAGGUCUUCGGAUCGUAAAACUCUGUUAUUAGGGAAGAACAAAUGUGUAAGUAACUAUGCACGUCUUGACGGUACCUAAUCAGAAAGCCACGGCUAACUACGUG
rnacentral:rRNA from 1 species